UACGGGGGGGGCAAGUGUUGUUCGGAAUUACUGGGCGUAAAGGGCUCGUAGGCGGCCAACUAAGUCGGACGUGAAAUCCCCAGGCUCAACCUGGGAACUGCGUCCGAUACUGGAUGGCUUGAAUCCGGGAGAGGGAUGCAGAAUUCCAGGUGUAGCGGUGAAAUGCGUAGAUAUCUGGAGGAACACCGGUGGCGAAGGCGGCAUCCUGGACCGGCAUUGACGCUGAGGAGCGAAAGCCAGGGGAGCAAACGGG
rnacentral:rRNA from 1 species